rnacentral:rRNA from 1 species
UACGAAGGGGGCUAGCGUUGCUCGGAAUCACUGGGCGUAAAGCGCACGUAGGCGGGUCGUUAAGUCAGGGGUGAAAUCCUGGAGCUCAACUCCAGAACUGCCUUUGAUACUGGCGAUCUUGAGUUCGGGAGAGGUGAGUGGAACUGCGAGUGUAGAGGUGAAAUUCGUAGAUAUUCGCAAGAACACCAGUGGCGAAGGCGGCUCACUGGCCCGAUACUGACGCUGAGGUGCGAAAGCGUGGGGAGCAAACAGG